AUGCCGGAGGCGGCGUCGCCGCCGCCGCUGCUCCCGCCGCCGGCCUCGGCGAGCUCCCCGGCCGCCUCCGUGCUGCGGACUCGGCGGCGGCGCAGGGCGUGGCGCCGCCCGCGCGGGCUGCUCUGCUGGGGCGCCCUGGUCGCCUUCUUCUUCCUCAUGAACUGGUGGAUGUUCUCCCGCCUCCAGGACCCCGCCACGCGCCCGCGCUUCCGCCUCCGCCGCCACCCGCCCCGCGCGACCAACUCCUCGCUCUCCACCCUGGAAGAGGUGAAUGCUACUGAAAAGGGGAAGAGGCCUCACCCGGUCAUGCUCACACGCCUGCUCGCUUUGGCGGCCCAUGCUUUGGCAGAGGUAGAUAAUAGGCCAGAACCCAAAGACCUAUGGAAAGAGCCAAUAAAUGCUACUUUGUGGAAACCUUGCUCUGACCAAAGGGAUUGGGAAGCAUCAGGCAAUAUCAGUUCAUCAGAGGGAACCAAUGGUUACAUCAUCAUCAGUGCAAAUGGUGGAAUAAACCAGCAAAGGGUAGCGAUAUGUAAUGCCGUUACCAUAUCCCGGUUGCUCAAUGCAACUCUUGUCAUUCCAAAGUUCUUGUACAGUAAUGUCUGGCUGGACAAAAGCCAGUUUCGAGAUAUAUAUCAGGAGGAUUAUUUUAUCAAAUAUUUGAAACCUGAUAUUCGGAUUGUGAAGGAGCUUCCUUUGGAGUUGCAAUCGUUAGAUUUGGAGGCAAUUGGUAGCCUUGUUAAUGAUACAGAUGUCAUGAAAGAGGCAAAACCAAGUAUAUAUGUAAAAAAGAUACUACCAAUUUUACUGAAGAACAGAGUUGUCCACUUUGUAGGAUUUGGCAACCGCUUAUCUUUUGACCCGAUACCAUUUCAACUUCAGAGAUUGCGAUGCAGAUGUAACUUUCAUGCUCUUCGUUUUGUACACAAAAUACAAGAAACUGGUGCAUUACUCGUAGAGAGAUUGCAUGGCCACAUGCCCCAUCUGUCUCCUUUGCAAGAUAAUCUUUUAGGUCAUUUUGCUGGGAAAUCCGUCCCCGGUGGGAACAGGAACGGGUCGUCCAAAUAUCUAGCAGUUCAUCUCAGAUUUGAGAUUGAUAUGGUUGCAUACUCAAUGUGUUACUUUGGUGGUGGGAAAGAUGAGGAAGAGGAAUUAGAGAUGUAUCGUCAAAUUCAUUUUCCUGCUCUGACAGAAAUCAAGAGGACAACAAAAUUGCCCUCUGCUGCUUUCUUGCGAUCUGAAGGCAAAUGCCCCCUUGCACCUGAAGAAGCUGUGCUUAUGCUCGCUGCUAUUGGUUUCAAGCGCAGGACUAGUAUAUACAUUGCAGGUGCUGAAAUUUAUGGAGGGGGGCGUAGGAUGGCUGCCAUAAGUCGCCUUUAUCCUGCUUUAGUAACUAAAGAAACACUUCUGUCCCCAUCGGAGCUUGAACCAUUCAGAAACUUCUCAUCGCAGUUGGCAGCUCUGGACUUUAUUGCAUGUGCAUCAGCUGAUGCAUUUGCUAUGACUGACCCAGGCAGCCAGUUCUCUUCUCUUGUUCAAGGAUACCGCAUGUACUAUGGUGGUGGGGACCUUCCCACAUUAAGACCAAAUAAGCGUCGCCUAGCCAGCAUACUUGUGAAGAAUGCCACAAUAGAGUGGAAGGAAUUUGAAACUAGAGUAAACAAACUCAUACAACAAACUAAGCAAGUCCAUGAGAGGCCAAUUGCAAGGAGCAUAUUCAGACAUCCGCGUUGUCCAGAGUGUAUGUGCAGAACAGAUAAUUGA
rnacentral:rRNA from 1 species